GGCGGCAUGGCCAAGUGGUUAAGGCAGAGGUUUGCAAAACCUUUAUCGUGGGUUCGAUUCCCACUGCCGCCUCCA
rnacentral:tRNA from 1 species